AUCUGAAUGAAUAUCAGAUAUAAUGCUGGCUUUAGCAAUAUAGAGAAGAUUAGCAUGGCCCCUGUGCAAGGAUGACAUGCAAGUUGAUGAAGCAUUCCAUUUAAAA
ensembl:snRNA U6 U6 spliceosomal RNA